CCUACGGGGGGCUGCAGUGGGGAAUAUUGGACAAUGGGCGAAAGCCUGAUCCAGCCAUGCCGCGUGUGUGAAGAAGGCCUUCGGGUUGUAAAGCACUUUCAGUGGGGAAGAAAGCCUUGGGGCUAAUACCCUCGAGGAAGGACAUCACCCACAGAAGAAGCACCGGCUAACUCCGUGCCAGCAGCCGCGGUAAUACGGAGGGUGCGAGCGUUAAUCGGAAUUACUGGGCGUAAAGCGCGCGUAGGCGGUCUGAUAAGCCGGUUGUGAAAGCCCCGGGCUCAACCUGGGAACGGCAUCCGGAACUGUCAGGCUAGAGUGCAGGAGAGGAAGGUAGAAUUCCCGGUGUAGCGGUGAAAUGCGUAGAGAUCGGGAGGAAUACCAGUGGCGAAGGCGGCCUUCUGGACUGACACUGACGCUGAGGUGCGAAAGCGUGGGUAGCAAACAGGAUUAGAUACCCGAGUCGUC
rnacentral:rRNA from 1 species